GACUCUGAUCCAUGUUGGAUGCUUUCUUCUUCUUCUUCACUGACGACAGGUUUAGGAAAGAAGAUGAACAGCACCCCCUGGGGGGUCCCUCCCACUCCUCCUCCCACCAGAGCAGACCCCUAAGAUCACAAUCAGUAACCGAGCUACAAGACCUUCACGGGAACACGGACGAUUGUUAUGGAGCAACACUAAAAGAGGGAACAUGCUCAGUGUGUAGAGGACGUGAGGCGGCUGCAUCGGGAGAUUAUGAAGUCACUUGGAGUGAUAUGUAGCCUGCUAGCAGUAGCAUCGCACUGCUUCACAUAAGUGAAGUCGUCAAACUUUAAAGUGCCAGCUGAAUGAAGAGAUUUUUUUUGAAACAACUGUGAAAACUUUCUUUGGUACAUUUUUGUCUUCCUUCUCAAAAAGGGGAACUUGUGUCUGAAGCACAAUAUGAAUUUGCCUUCUUGUACAGUAAUGUGUAGAAAAAAAAAAUCAGGUGCCAGAAGGAAAGAGUUGCAUAUUUGUACAUCAUCACUGUCACGCUGUUUUUUUUUUUUUUUGUCCAUUUCUACACUGCAGUGUUGAUUUCUACUAUUCGAGAUCCCAAAGUGGACUUCUUGGAAUUGGUUACCACUCAGCGUACGUCUUUUAAAAAAAAGUUUGUUUGUCUCUGGAUGAAAUGAAGAAUGAGACCGACACAUUUGGGUCAAAAUAAUCAACCACUGGAUCUUUUUAAUGAGCUUCAAGUCUUCUCGGAUUAAGAAGACUGAAGGAGAACUGUUUGACACGAGCGGACAUUAUGCAGGCUCUCAACAGCGUUUAUCAUUUAUCCUGUGAGAGGAUGGAUGUGAGAGUCUUGCAUGUUUUUUUUUGUUUUAAAGGGAGGAGUGUUUUUAUCUAGACUGUUUUCAAGAAAGGGAUUUAUAUGUUUUUAAAUUAUGCCAGACGUCCACAUAUGCAAGCAGUUAAAGGGGGACACUGAACUUUUAAAUCGGCCUCUGUUUUUGCACAUUUUAGAAGCUAAGUGACGAGUAGGUGGGUUCACAAGUUGUCUGAGCCGGCAGCCUUUAAACUGUCUGUGUAUGUUCUCAGUCAUCCAGGUCAUGUUAGAUUUAAUGCUUGAUCCAAAGGAAAAUGGACUGGUUGAAGAUCUUGAUGUUUCACCUCUCUUCACCAGAAAGGCUUCUUCGGUUUAGAGGGGAGGUGAAACAUCUGCAACCAGUCCAGUUCCCUCUGGAUCAAGCUUUGACUAAAGCAUGAAACUGUAGUGACAGCAAUGUUAAUCCUGUGGAGAAAAGCUGCACAGUGUCCACUAAAAGUGUUGUUCUGAUUGUUAUUCUACAUGUGACCAUUUUAUUAAAGUAACUCUCUGCAGAGACAGAGCUGCAGGUGGAGGAGAGAUUAUUAUUUUAACAAGCAGCCUUUGUAUUUCUUCUUUUGAAUGAGUCGCUCUACAUUGCUGAACACAGGAGUUGCUGCUUUACCACUUAACCGGCAUCAGUUAAAUUAUUUAAAGUCCUGUCCCUUAACUAUAUUUGUGAAACACAUUCCAACACAUACUAACUUAACAUAUCAAGGUAACAGUUAGACGCGCAACUCCCAUUUUGUGCAAGGUUGAAUGACUUGUUUCAUCUAGUGUAGUACCUGAAAUCGGUCUCGUCUCGGAAUCGAAAACAUUUUUACUCUGUCUUGUCUCAGACUCCGGAUUUUAAAUCAAGACCACCACUGAUGGGCUAUUUUUCAACGUCAUCACUGUGAUUAGAAGGAAAACGCCUCUUUUUAAAAGAUCAAAUAACUUCAAUACAUUUGUACUUAGAUUUUUAUCCCCCACUGAGUCUAAGUGAGUGACACGCCCCUGCACACAAGAAGAGGAUCUUUCAGUGAUAUUUAUGGUCUUUGGUCUGGCCUGUCUUGAUCCCUAAAUGUCUUGGUCUUGUCUCAGAGCACUCUGGUCUCGGGUAUGUCUUGGUCUUGGUUGGUGCGGUCUUGACUACAACACUACUUUCAUCUCAAACAAUGCAUCGUAACCUUUGACAGAAAGUAUUUCUCCAUCCUUGCUCUAAUGUUGUCACAGAUUAAAUAACAAUCUGAGCCCGUUAGCAGUGAAAACAAACUGAGUGUCUGUAAGCUGAGAGAAUAGCAUUCAGCCAUCAUGGCAUGUUGCUGCAGCAGCCAGCUGAAGCCAUUUUGAAACCUUUUAAAGCUAACAGUAGUUUCGCCACCAGGGGGGGCUAGAAGAAGAAAAAAAGUGUCCCUGGUUUAAAUGUAAAAUGACAUGAAGUCAAGGAUCAAUCUGAGCCACUAGUGAUCAUCUUUAAAGAUCACUUUGAUUCAAAAUGACAUGACUUUACAUUUUUGGGGGAAUUUUCACGCGUUUAUUCAGAUUUCCCAGCAUUCAAAGGGAACAUCUGGUGACUGUAUAAUCAUGUUCUGGUGAAUGAUUUUAAAAUACAAUUUGUAUAUAAUUAUUUCAGAUCA